AACUGAUAGACACUUGGGAGAGAAACAGAAAGAGAGAAAGAGAGAGGAAAGAAAGAUAAGGAGAAAGAUAAAGGCAGAGAGACACAACAUUGCAUUAGACACUAAGAGCCAUUCCUCGCUCGCUAAAGGCUAAUGCAAUUGCCACACAAUAAGAGUGUCUCAGCGGAGGCUGAAAAAAACAGCUAGAGAGGGGAAUGUAAGAGGAGAGGCAGAGAGGGAGGGAAGAAUGGAGGGAGGGAGUGAAGGAGGAGAACUGGCAGCUCUGCCUCCAGACUCUCAUAUGGAUCUCCUGGGACAAUGGUUGAAAGUCUCUCUCUGUCUCUACUGUAACUCCUGGCUGUGUGUGAGUGGCUGAGUGGCUCGGUACUCUGCUGUGUCUCCAGAGUGAUUUAUCAGGUUUGCGGGGAGGAGAGUGAGAGGGAGAGAUGGGGGAGACAACUCUGGUAGCAGGCAGGCAGCAGUCACCAGCCAGCUGGCUGGGUGUGUUAACUCCACAUCUGACCUCUAUGGGAACAGAUCACCCUCCUCUCCUCUCUUCUCCUUCCCUUCUUUCCUCUCCUGGUAGACUGUGGGAACAGGAGAGAUAGAUUUUUCUCCCUAUUUCUUCUUCUGCGCUGUGGAGCUCAGGGUACGAGCCCUGGGACAGAGCGGGACAUGACAGGACAGUACAGCUUUCCCAGUGGAACCUCAGCAGGACACUCUGAGGACUGCACUGCCUGCUGAUUCUUGGACCUCCACUGGCACAACUGGCUGCCGCGUGGUUGUCUAGUCAGUCAUUAGCCAGUCAGAUGGUUAGUUAGUCAGACAGUUGAUCGGUCAGCGUGGUCCCUCCCAAAGAGUCAACUCUUCCACCUUGUGUAUUUCCUUGGCUGCACUCACUCUGAGGUGACUCGGGCUUACCGUGCAGCAAGAGCAGACCUGUGGGCAUGGUCACGGGUGCUCACAGCUGCUGUGAAGGAAGUUAUCCGAGGGCAGAGAGGAGAAGAGAGGUGCAGAGGGGGAUUCAGCCUCUGCCCCGGCUGUGGUGGGGAGGGUUCCUGGCACCGUGAUUUGAUGCAAAAAGAGAAACAAAAAUCACAUUGCCAGGGAUUUCCACUCCUUCACAGCUCAGCAGGUGACCCACCGCAUCGUUGUGUUUCCAGUGUGGGAUGAUUUAGUGUCGUUUUCUUGACGGAUUUCUUUCAGUUGGUUACUGACACUGUUGCUGUGGAGUGAAAGAAUAAACACUGAGGAGAUUAGACAGACACUGAGAUCUGCUCUAGCUGUACAGCUUUACACGAUGUAAACCAAAAUUCUUGGAGGCAGCUCACGUUUCAGAUCGGAUUUAGGAUUUAUAAACAAGGAAAUGAUUUGGGGGUUUGAAACAAGGGCUCAGAUCCUCCGCGGGCAGCACACUCUGAAACUCAAAGGCGUAGCAAACCUCAGCACUGUAAGCAUUGCAGGCUUUGAAACCUCCAGCUUAACACUGAGCAGUCACGUAAAGGUCUGCGUGAGUCUCUGCUCCCUCAAAAGCCAGCCACCCACUUGCUAAAGGCACAGAGCUUAGCUAAUUGGUGAGCAUUGAUCCCUGCUAUGUGUUGUUCACAGUGGCUAAGUUCAGUGCCUGAGGUGAAAUAGUUGAUUCGACGUUGGGGAUUUGUUCCGGUGAAUGGAAAGAACUUGAUGAUCUUGGAUAUGAAGAAAGAAGGAGGGAGGAGGAGAGGAGUGACGAGAGAUUAGGGGGAGACGGAGGGAGGUGGAAAUAUAUAUAUAGAGAGAGAGAAAGAGAGAGAGGCCAGGAUCAGAGCUCUGUACGGGGUUACAUGUGGAGCUAUCGCGUGUGCAUCAUGGUCCAGACGUGAGACAAGCUGUAUCGUUUCAUUGUGUCUGCCUGAAGCAACAACUGUCUUAUCUUACCUGACACAUCUGGCAAGAAUCAUCAUGCAUACCUAAUAUAUUUGAAAAUGUUUAAGUGAGACAUGGUGACCCAGGUUUAAAAUGCCCCAGAUCCAUUUGAGGAAUGUGGUGCUAAAUGUCAGACUGAGGCGGGCAUGCCAGUUCAAGUCCAGCUGAGUUAGCUGUGGACCAAUGUGCCGGAACCGUAUACACUCAGCCGAUCUAAUACUAGCUCCUUCCUCAGUCACAGCUGAACAAAAGCAGGUACACAGCAGCUAUCCACCGAAGCAGUGUGUAGGUAGUACUACACUAAGAGAACGACAAGGUCUGUGUCUUUUUUUAUAUACAAAAAAAAGAGAUCAAAAGUGUACAAGAUGGGUUAAAUAUUGUGUUGUCUGCAGAAAGGGCCAGCUACAGUUGUUGCUAUGGUAAUAUCAUUUCUUAGGAAUCACUCUGUUUACAUGGACACCAGUAUUGUGCUAAUAAACAGAACAACAUGCUCAUGUAACCAGGUAAUUAUUAACAUACCAGUGCAAUCAAUAGGAAUCUUAACAUUUCAGAUUCAUUCAGUAGGAAAAUAAACCCACUUGCCAGUUCAUUAGGUACACUAGUGAAAACAAAUGCUCAGAAACCACCAAGCUGCACAAAAAACUGCCCAAAGUAUUAGACUGAUGUCUUGUUUAGUUCAUAUUACUUCUCGCAAUACUGCAGCGCAUUAUAAACCAAUGCAGUCAAAGCAUAGGCACGCUUCUGUGUUUGAUUUAUUAGAGUUUAACAGCACCACAAUCUAAGUCCUCCAGAAUGUCAAUAAAGUUGCAUUACCACCUUUCUGACACUAUUUCAACUAAGAUUUAGAGGUGGACUGUUAUAUUAGAAUGUAUUGGUCCACACCAGUGUUGUUUAACAGCCAUGUCACCAUCUAUGCAUUUCAUAUCGGGGCAUGUCAUUGCCUUUCCUAUAAAAUCACUUUAUUUUGCAUCCAUGUAAACAGUUCAGUACAAUGCAUGCUCUCAUCAUUAUUAGACUGACAGAGCAGGGUUUGCUCAGAUUGCCUGCAACAGGGGCCUUUGUGUAGACAUUCUUGCUUCAAAAUAAGUCCAGAAAACGUCAGCCUCAACAGCACUCAUAACGAGAGACAGCUUAGCAAACUUCUGGAAACUGACUUAGCUAGUUGUAGGUUAAUAAACCAAAUCAAAAUAAACAGGCUAGAAUGAGCAAAUGAGCACAAUCCUUCGUGAGUCUGAAAUGAAGUACGCAGAUGACUAAGGCCUCUGAGUCAUUCUUUCUGCCACUGUUAUCACUGUGAACUGUGCUAUUGUACGUGUCGUGAGGAACGUUCUAAGAGAAGCUACAGUUAGGGGUUAUUUUACAUUACUUGCUUGUUUGGUGUUGCUAUUAAAGGUGGAAUUUAAAAAAGUUAUAGUACUCUAACUUGCACUUUUCUGGGCUGUGCCCUCCCGUGCCUACUGAACUGGUAUCAGUGUUUUACCUGAAAACUGGCUCAGUUCAGCAGGAACAGGAGUGGAGCUCACUGACUAGCAAGAUACAUCCUGGCUUACCACAUCAGCUUACUACAGUGAGCUUGCAGCAAGGCAGCACAGCCCUGGUUUAGCUUUCAGUUGCCGUGUUAAAUUGGCCGCACCCACCACAGAGCCGCAUGGGAGUCAAUGGCCCUGACGAAUAUCAAAGUCCUCCAACCUGUCAGACGACGCCACUGAACCCUGAAGUCUGUUUAAAACAGCACAGUUAGAUGAGCGUCCCUCUCUCAGCUCAAACAUGAAUGUUUCAUAAGCCGAUUUACCAUAUUUGCUUGAUAGGUAGACCCUGGUGUCCCGAGCUGUUUUGUUCAUACUGUCUGUAAUGCAUGUGAUCGUGUUGUUCUGCUCAGCCUUCAUGUUUAUUUCUGCAUUCUUCCUUCAACAAGGCUAUAAACCACGUCUCUCACCCUUUGUUUCCCUCCGCGUCUUUUUCUGUCUUUUUGUGCUGUCAAAGUUCAGACUGAGAUUGAAGUUCACUGUGAGAUAAUCCCAGUGAAAUGUCUGCUAUGCCUGCGUAAUUGAUGUCACCCAGGAGUCCCUAUUAUCAGUGAUUGGGAAUGUGUGCAAUGCAGCCCCACUCCCCAAGAUAACUCUCAGUCACCAAAGAAAAAUUCUUCAUCUUGAACGUUUCAGUGGAAAGUGGAAAGUGGAAGCUCAUCAGCAAGUGUGAUUAAUCCACCCUUAUCCUGCUCCUCAGUUGAUCUCGCCUGGCACCAUAAAAUUAUAUUUCUGUUCCUUUGGAUCUCUGCCUACAAAUGUUCCUACAAAUGUUCAUUUAAACCUGGAGGGGAUCACUGAGUGAAAGGUUAGAAGGAUGUUUUUUUUAGAUGUGAUAUUGACUUCAAGGCAUUGCUCAAGCUAGGUGGUGCCACUGACAGGUUAGUUAUGAUUUGUGUGAGUGUUCACUCCAACAAAAUGUAGAAGACAAUGGUGCAUGAAGUGCAUUAGUUCUAAAUGUCAGUGUGUAUUUAAUAAUGAUUUGUUGUGAUGAUGCAGGUGCAGCCAUUGUGUCAUUUCAGCCUUGAUUUAAGGUAAUAAAGUUUAAAUGAGCCAGA